rnacentral:rRNA from 1 species
UACGUAGGGCGCAAGCGUUGUCCGGAAUUAUUGGGCGUAAAGAGCUCGUAGGCGGCUUGUCACGUCGGGUGUGAAAGCCCGGGGCUUAACCCCGGGUCUGCAUUCGAUACGGGCUGGCUAGAGUGUGGUAGGGGAGAUCGGAAUUCCUGGUGUAGCGGUGAAAUGCGCAGAUAUCAGGAGGAACACCGGUGGCGAAGGCGGGUCUCUGGGCCGUAACUGACGCUGAGGAGCGAAAGCAUGGGGAGCGAACAGG